AAGUGUAAACGGAGCAGUGAGACAACCGUUUAGAUUAACCGCAAAAGUAGGUCGAUGUUUCUUGCGUUUAUUAUCCACAAGAAGCUUUUGACUACCAGCACGUCCUGUGUAUAUACAUUAAAGUCGUUAAUAUUUAGCUGCGUCAAGAAAACAAUACUGAAUGAUGUGUGUGUGUGGAUAGUGACAGUGAGGGGAAGCUUGGUGUCUCUUUCUAGAUAAAAGGCGGCGGUAAUUAAGCUGAACCUGCUGCACUGGUCCUUUCAUUUCAGAGCUAAGUAGCAGGAGAAGGGACUUAAUGUGGACGAGCAUCAAUGAUGACAGGAAAGCAUUACAAUGGACAUGAAGUCAGCUGUUGCAUCAAAUAUUUUAUAUUUGGAUUUAACAUAAUAUUUUGGUUACUGGGGUUGGCCUUCCUGGGGAUUGGACUAUGGGCUUGGAAUGAGAAGGGUGUGCUCUCAAACAUCUCCUCCAUCACUGAUUUGGGUGGGUUUGACCCUGUCUGGCUGUUUCUAGUGGUGGGUGGUGUGAUGUUUAUCCUGGGUUUUGCUGGUUGCAUCGGAGCUCUGAGAGAGAACACCGUCCUCCUCAAAUUUUUUUCUGUGUUCCUGGGGAUUAUAUUCUUCCUGGAACUGACAGCUGGGAUUCUUGCCUUUGUCUUUAAGGACUGGCUCAAAGACCAGCUUCAGUUCUUCAUUAACAACAACAUCAGAGCCUAUAGAGAUGAUAUUGACCUACAAAACCUUAUCGACUUCACUCAGGAAUAUUGGGAAUGCUGUGGGGCUUUUAAAGCCAGUGAUUGGGAUCUCAACAUCUACUUCAACUGCACAGACACCAACCCCAGCCGAGAGAAGUGUGGCGUUCCCUUCUCCUGCUGCACCAAGGACCCAGCGGAGGAUGUCAUCAACACACAAUGCGGAUAUGAUGUCCGAUCUAAAUUGGAAGCUGAACAGAAGACAGUCAUAUAUUUGAAGGGCUGUGUGCCUCAGUUUGAGAAGUGGUUACAUGACAACCUGACAGUAGUAGCAGGCAUCUUUAUAGGAAUUGCACUGCUACAGAUCUUUGGAAUAUGCCUGGCCCAAAAUCUAGUGAGUGAUAUUGAAGCUGUGCGGGUGAGCUGGGUGCCGCCCCCCUCCUUCGCUGCCCACCGCCCCCCGUACAACUCCAGCAAGAAAGCCUCAGUGUACUUGUGAGGGAGGUGCUCACCUGUUUGUUCACCGGAAGAUAAUGUUCCUUCAGACAUUCACAGGACUCGUGAGUAAUGGUGCCAGCAACAGAACCCAAUAUGCACAGUUCACAUGUGUGUACAGAUGUGAUCUACACAAUCAUAUUUUAUUGUGUGAAUACAAAUCUUUCUAAAGUAUUUCACAUGCCGGACACCUGUGUAUUAAAUGUAAAUGUAUGGCUGUGUGAGUGUGUGUCUUGAGAUGUUUCACAAUUAGAAUUCACUACAUCUCUUAUGUUCCAGUUUUUCUUUUUCUUUCCAGUUCACACUGUUUCAUAAAGAGACAUAUACAGACAUUAUUACACUGAGGAAACUAUUUUGGUCCAGUUUGUGGACACUGACUUCUUAUUUCAUUUUCAUCACAUUUGCAUGUUUAACACAUUUAAAUUUUGAUAACCACUUGGUUAUGUCCUAAUAUCUCAAAAGGUAUGUACUUGUUCUUUAUCAAGUGAAAGUCCAUAAUCUUUAGUGAACAACCUCUGACACCAGCAGAACGUACCAUGAAAAUAGUGUCAAGUGAUUUAUAAACAAAAAUCUAAAAGUUCAGAGGUCAUGGCUGUAAUAUAUUAGUAUAUAUUAAUAGUAGAGAAUGGCUCUGAAGGAUUAAGAUAAAUUAAAAAUUUAAUUCAAUACACUUCAAAAAGUAUUCUGUACACACGUUCUAUAAAAGCCAAGUAUUUUUAGAGUGGUUUCAUAAGUGGUUUUCGAUGGGAAAAAAAAUAAUACAAUCUAUUUAAGCAGCCAAAUGGAAUUAAUGAGGGAUGAACAAAAAUCUGUACUGUUAACUGUAAGGAUGUAAAAUGUGUAAGGGAAUGUUUUUCUAACGCAGGCUUAUUGUAAUCAUAUGAACUAAUAUUGGAGGACAGAAUGUGAUAAACUCUUGAUUCUGUGCUAUACUCACCCAUUUUAUGAAAUAAACAAAACCUUUUUCACCUGC